rnacentral:rRNA from 1 species
UACGAAGGGGGCUAGCGUUGCUCGGAAUCACUGGGCGUAAAGGGUGCGUAGGCGGCUUUAUAAGUCAGCGUUGAAAUAUGGCAGCUUAACUGUCAGACUGGCAUUGAUACUGUAGAGCUUGAGUGAAGUCGAGGUUGGCGGAAUUGACGGUGUAGCGGUGAAAUGCAUAGAUAUCGUCAAGAACACCUAUUGCGAAGGCAGCUAACUAGACUUAACUGACGCUGAGGCACGAAAGCGUGGGGAUCAAACAGG